CAAGUGCUGUAUAUAACAAGCGAAGAACAUACGCCACUCAUCAAAACACAAAGAUGGCGAUCAAAGCUCUGUUGAUGGCGAUGAUGAUGUAUGCCCUCAUCCUCGUGGCCAAGAAAGCUGACAUGCCUGAUCAGCCUACCACUCCAUGUCCAAUGUCACAAACAUCCACGUAAAGUCUUAGAGUCCACGGCUUUCUCAGAACCUCGAAAUCCAGGAUCUAGAAUCUGCCUAAAUGUGAUGUAAAUCUCCAUAUUUUAAAUUAUAAUUGUAUAC